AUGUCAUGACGUGGACACUUCCUAAGCAAAUCAUUGAAGCGUUCCCAUGCUUCAUGAAAUGUUUCUCUAUUCCCAUGUGAAACCGGAUAGUACUUCUUCAAGAACUC